rnacentral:rRNA from 1 species
AUUGAACGCUGGCGGCAGGCCUAACACAUGCAAGUCGAACGGUAACAGGAAGCAGCUUGCUGCUUUGCUGACGAGUGGCGGACGGGUGAGUAAUGUCUGGGAAACUGCCUGAUGGAGGGGGAUAACUACUGGAAACGGUAGCUAAUACCGCAUAACGUCGCAAGACCAAAGAGGGGGACCUUCGGGCCUCUUGCCAUCGGAUGUGCCCAGAUGGGAUUAGCUAGUAGGUGGGGUAACGGCUCACCUAGGCGACGAUCCCUAGCUGGUCUGAGAGGAUGACCAGCCACACUGGAACUGAGACACGGUCCAGACUCCUACGGGAGGCAGCAGUGGGGAAUAUUGCACAAUGGGCGCAAGCCUGAUGCAGCCAUGCCGCGUGUAUGAAG